UCCUGGAUAGCUCAGCUGGUUAGAGCGUGGUGCUGAGAACUCGUACCAAGGUUGCAAGUUCAAUCCCCAUGCAGGAC